rnacentral:rRNA from 1 species
CCUACGGGAGGCAGCAGUAGGGAAUAUUGGACAAUGGGGGAAACCCUGACCCAGCAACGCCGCGUGAAGGAAGAAGGUUUUCGGAUUGUAAACUUCUUUUGUGAGAGAAGAUAAUGACGGUAUCCCUCUAGGAAGCACCGGCUAACUACGUGCCAGCAGCCGCGGUAAUACGGAGGGUGCGAGCGUUUAUCGGACUUACUGGGUGUAAAGGGCGCGUAGGCGGGAUAGCAAGUCAGAUGUGAAAUCUUAGGGCUUAACCCAUGAACUGCAUUUGAAACUGUUAUUCUUGAGUAUCGGAGAGGCAGGUGGAAUUCCUAGUGUAGCGGUGAAAUGCGUAGAUAUUAGGAGGAACACCAGUGGCGAAGGCGGCCUGCUGGACCAUAACUGACGCUGAGGCGCGAAAGCGUGGGGAGCAAACAGGAUUAGAUACCCUUGUAGUC